CGGCUUUAGUGUAAUUUUGGUGAUGACCGGAACAGAACUAAAGAUAUUUUAAAAACUGGCCGUGGCCUCACGAUAAAACUUUCUAAAAAUGUUCUCUGUUUCAUGUAUUUUUAUUUGAUAUCUUAGGUAUAAGCGUAAAAAUAGGGGCUCAUACAGUUUACGAGGUUGUAAAAUGCAUUACUUGCCUCUAUUUUCAUGUAAACAUUCCAAAUUUUUCGACAGCAAAGUAGCAACUGUUUCAGAUCGAAUGCACACGGACAGCCCACCAGAGACAAUGGCAG